UCUGAUCCUAGGUCUUGGUUGAAGUAUGCUUACAAAGUUGUUUCUGACCAAAUGAAGAAGGCAAUGUAUUUCCAUUUCCUUGAUGAAGGAACUGUGUGAAUUAUUUUGUGAAUUGAGUAAGGAUGCUUCAAUCUAUUUUGGUCAGUUUCCUUUGAAGUUUGAAGUGAUCUCAUCAUUCAAGUGAAAGAAAGCAGAUAUUUGCUUCACAAGUGGAGUUGAGGCAUUCGAGCACAGCACAGAAUUCUGCUAUGGAAUCAAAAUCACCCUCAAUGCCAUUGUAUAAAGCAUGAAGUAGAAAUUCUAACCCACGGCAUCGUGCGGGUUCUCAUUCCUAGUUU